GCAGUGGUGGCUCAGUGGUAGAAUUUCCACCUUCCACGCGGGAAACCCGGGUUUGAUUCCCAGCCAGUGCA
rnacentral:tRNA from 1 species